AACGAACGCUGGCGGCAGGCCUAACACAUGCAAGUCGAACGUGAAGCUGGAGCUUGCUCCAGUGGAAAGUGGCAGACGGGUGAGUAACGCGUGGGAAUUUACCCAGUGGUUCGGAAUAACUUCGGGAAACCGGAGCUAAUACCGAAUACGCCCUUCGGGGAAAGAUUAUCGCCAUUGGAUGAGCCCGCGUCGGAUUAGCUAGUUGGUGGGGUAAAAGCCUACCAAGGCGACGAUCCGUAGCUGGUCUGAGAGGAUGAUCAGCCACACUGGGACUGAGACACGGCCCAGACUCCUACGGGAGGCAGCAGUGGGGGAAUAUUGCACAAUGGCGCAAGCCUGAUGCAGCCAUGCCGCGCGAGUGAAGAAGGCCUUAGGGUUGUAAAACUCUUUCACCGGUGAAGAUAAUGACGGUAGCCGGAGAAGAAGCCCCGGCC
rnacentral:rRNA from 1 species